rnacentral:rRNA from 1 species
GGCUUCUUAAGCGGGUGGUGAAAGCCCGGGGCUCAACCCCGGGUCGGCCAUGCGAACUGGGGAGCUGGAGCACGGUAGAGGCACAUGGAAUUCCGGGUGUAGCGGUGGAAUGCGUAGAGAUCCGGAAGAACACCGGUGGCGAAGGCGGUGUGCUGGGCCGUGGCUGACGCUGAGGCGCGACAGCGUGGGGAGCAAACAGGAUUAG